rnacentral:rRNA from 1 species
GAUGAACGCUGGCGGCGUGCCUAAUACAUGCCAGUCGAGCGAACGGACGAGAAGCUUGCUUCUCUGAUGUUAGCGGCGGACGGGUGAGUAACACGUGGAUAACCUACCUAUAAGACUGGGAUAACUUCGGGAAACCGGAGCUAAUACCGGAUGAUAUUUUGAACCGCAUGGUUCAAAAGUGAAAGACGGUCUUGCUGUCACUUGUAGAUGGAUCCGCGCUGCAUUAGCUAGUUGGUAAGGUAACGGCUUACCAAGGCAACGAUGCAUAGCCGACCUGAGAGGGUGAUCGGCCACACUGGAACUGAGACACGGUCCAGACUCCUACGGGAGGCAGCAGUAGGGAAUCUUCCGCAAUGGGCGAAAGCCUGACGGAGCAACGCCGCGUGAGUGAUGAAGGUCUUCGGAUCGUAAAACUCUGUUAUUAGGGAAGAACAUAUGUGUAAGUAACUGUGCACAUCUUGACGGUACCUAAUCAGAAAGCCACGGCUAACUACGUG